rnacentral:lncRNA from 1 species
CACUAAUUCCACCACCACUACAAUUCAUCGCCGUCAAUCCAAACAAAACCAACACUACCUCCACCAUCUUCAAACUAACACCAUAGCCAAUACUAUCACAAAAUCAAUAAUAAUCACCAUAACCAAUACUAUUAUCACGAAAUCAAUAGAACAACCAUAAACACUUCAUCAUCACCACCAUUCCCAAAUCAUAAACAAAAGACUAAGAGUCUUUAAUUAUCAAAACUUAUAACUCAUUCCAUCAAAAUCAGAAACCAUCAAACAGAACAAGAGAAAAGGAAAAGAAGGGAGGAAGAAUAUUUGCCACCACAAACAGAACACCGCCGCAAAUCCGGCCGCUGCCACCGAAUCCGCCCCAACAUCAUCUCCGGACAACCUCUGCUCCAUUCGGACCUCUACCGUCGGCCUUCCACUGAUCUCUCUCUCUCUCUCUCACCCGAUCUCCUCUCUCUCACGGUGUCUAUCUCUCUCUCUAGUCUUAACUGGAACACUUUAAUACAAACCAGAACACUUUAAAAAAGUGUUACGGUAAAAAAGAGUGAUUCCAAUUUUUUUUGCCACAUCGGAAUAUUUUUGAAAAAGUGUUUCAGUAUAAUUAACAUACCGAAAAAAAAAAUACUUAAACAAUAUUUGAAGAGGAUGUAGUAAAAAAUAAAAAGAAAUAUACUAGAGAAAGAGAAGGAUAUAAUGAGAAUAUUUUGAAAUAUGUUGGAGUAAAGGGAUAAAUGUAGGAGUAGGAAAAAA